rnacentral:rRNA from 1 species
UACGUAGGGGGCUAGCGUUGUCCGGAAUCAUUGGGCGUAAAGAGCGUGUAGGCGGCCCGGUAAGUCCGCUGUAAAAGUCAAAGGCUCAACCUUUGAAAGCCGGUGGAUACUGCCGGGCUAGAGUCCGGAAGAGGCGAGUGGAAUUCCUGGUGUAGCGGUGGAAUGCGCAGAUAUCAGGAGGAACACCAAUAGCGAAGGCAGCUCGCUGGGACGGUACUGACGCUAAGGCGCGAAAGCGUGGGGAGCGAACAGG